GAUGAACGCUGGCGGCGUGCCUAAUACAUGCAAGUCGAGCGAACGGACGAGAAGCUUGCUUCUCUGAUGUUAGCGGCGGACGGGUGAGUAACACGUGGAUAACCUACCUAUAAGACUGGGAUACCUUCGGGAAACCGGAGCUAAUACCGGAUAAUAUUUUGAACCGCAUGGUUCAAAAGUGAAAGACGGUCUUGCUGUCACUUAUAGAUGGAUCCGCGCUGCAUUAGCUAGUUGGUAAGGUAACGGCUUACCAAGGCAACGAUGCAUAGCCGACCUGAGAGGGUGAUCGGCCACACGGGAACUGAGACACGGUCCAGACUCCUACGGGAGGCAGCAGUAGGGAAUCUUACGCGAUGGGCGAAAGCCUGACGGAGCAACGCCGCGUGAGUGAUGAAGGUCUUCGGAUCGUAAAACUCUGUUAGUAGGGAAGAACAUAUGUGUAAGUAACUGUGCACAUCUUGACGGUACCUAAUGAGAAAGCCACGGCUAACUACGUG
rnacentral:rRNA from 1 species